AAAGGUAAUUAGAUAUUGGAUAACCUUUGAAGCGAAGCAAAGCUGCAGAAGAGAAGAGAAGAGAAGAGAAGCAUUGAGUGGAAGAAGAAGAAAGAUCGGUUCUUGGUUUGAGAAUUCAAUGGCGGUUUCUUCUGUAACAUCAUUCAUAUUACCACCCUCUUUCCCAAAUCCAACCUCUUCGUCUUCUCCUACCAGACAGAAACUCUCUCUCCUUUCACUGCUUCCAUCUUCUAGUUCUACUCAUGGCAGCAUUAGCUCCUCCGUCCUUAACAAACCCUCCUCCUCGUUCACGAACAAGGUCUUCGCUGCUCCAGAAACUCUCGAUGAACCAUCAUCCUCUGAGGAAUUCUCCGAGGUUCCGAGCUCUUCCUCCAGAAGUGUAGACGCAGAUAAGAUGGCACCAAAGCAAAAGAUUAGGAUCAAGCUUAGAUCAUACUGGGUGCCUCUCAUUGAGGACUCAUGCAAGCAGAUACUUGACGCUGCGAGGAAUACUAAUGCUAAGACGAUGGGUCCUGUUCCAUUGCCGACCAAGAAGCGUAUCUACUGUGUUCUCAAGUCUCCCCACGUUCACAAGGAUGCAAGGUUUCACUUUGAGAUCCGGACUCACCAGCGGAUGAUUGAUAUUCUCUACCCCACUGCUCAGACCAUCGACUCCUUGAUGCAGCUGGAUCUUCCUGCUGGUGUUGAUGUGGAGGUCAAGCUCUGAAGAUCAACCGUGACUUUACAGUGGUAACAAAAACACUCUCAAACUAAUGUGUCUGGUGAUGGGCGCUUGCAUUGCAUGAACAGACUGUUUCAGAUCAACUACACUUCUUAGAACUUGUAAGCCCUGUAUCAACUUUUUGAGAGCCUCUGUAAUGAAUAUUCUCUUGUUCUUGUUCUUAAUUGACGAACAAAUCAGCUAGUAAGCAAGUUCAAAGGAAUCCAUUUUUUGUAUGUGUGUUUACUAAUUGUUUUGCUGUCAACUGUUAUAAAUAAGUUCAAUAUAUUUUUCUUUUGUA